rnacentral:rRNA from 1 species
AUAGCGUAUAUUAAAGUUGUUGCAGUUAAAAAGCUCGUAGUUGGAUUUCAAGGAACGCAGUAUGAUCUCAUACUGCCUCCUACCAGUCAUUGACUGUUACUGUGAGAAAAUUAGAGUGUUUCAAGCAGGCUGUUGCAGGAAUACAUUAGCAUGGAAUAACGAAUGUGUCUAGAAUCUUGGUUAAUUCUAGAUUUCGAUUAAUAGGGACAGUUGGGGGCAUUAGUAUUUAAUUGUCAGAGGUGAAAUUCUUGGAUUUGUUAAAGACUAACGUAUG